rfam:Yersinia pestis CO92 complete genome
CUCCGUACUGUUUUUUAACAGGCAGUACGGGGACUCAUUCAGUCUGCAACGAGGGUCCGCUCGUG